GAUGAACGCUGACAGAAUGCUUAACACAUGCAAGUCUACUUGAACUUCGGUUUGGGUGGCGGACGGGUGAGUAACGCGUAAAGAACUUGCCUCACAGUUAGGGACAACAUUUGGAAACGAAUGCUAAUACCUGAUAUUAUGAUUUUAGGGCAUCCUAAAAUUAUGAAAGCUAUAUGCGCUGUGAGAGAGCUUUGCGUCCCAUUAGCUAGUUGGAGAGGUAACGGCUCACCAAGGCGAUGAUGGGUAGCCGGCCUGAGAGGGUGAACGGCCACAAGGGGACUGAGACACGGCCCUUACUCCUACGGGAGGCAGCAGUGGGGAAUAUUGGACAAUGGACCGAAAGUCUGAUCCAGCAAUUCUGUGUGCACGAUGACGUUUUUCGGAAUGUAAAGUGCUUUCAGUUGGGAAGAAAAAAAUGACGGUACCAACAGAAGAAGUGACGGCUAAAUACGUG
rnacentral:rRNA from 1 species